GGUGAGGUGACUGAGAGGCCGAAAGUACUUGUUUGCUAAACAAGCGUACCUGGAAACGGGUACCCAGGGUUCGAAUCCCUGUCUCACCGCAA
rnacentral:tRNA from 1 species